AAAAAAACAGUAGAAUGCCACUAGCUUGUGCUUGUCCUGCGAAAAUCUCACGAGAUUCGGAGCUAGUACAACAAAAGCCAUGAUCCGUUAUGAUUUCUGCCGUCUGGAUCUUUCCCGGCUCACGAGAAAAAGCACACAGAGAGAAUCCCGAAACAGAGUCCGGCGCCGUGUGCUCGUGUCCCUUGGUCCCUUCUCCACUCUGAGCUUCCCGUCGUGACACCCUCGCCGGACGCCGGCCCCUCACGAUGCGCAGAGCGGCAAGGCGGGGAGCCCAGGAGUACUGCUCCACUCCCCCGACGCCGGCUCCUACAAAAUCCAGUGACUGUGAGAUCUCUCUACUUGCGAACCUGCAGCGUCGGUCAGACGGUCACCGAGCGUCCGAGCGCGUGCGAAGACGUUGGGGGCGAACAGAAGAGGACUCCAAUUAUUCAGGCUGGCAACGAGUUCCGUUUCCGUGCGCCGCUCAGGUCGCUUUUGAUUAAAACCAUCUAUUUGGACUGUAUAAUCUAGAGACAAAAAACGCUGUAGAAAUAAUAAAAAUCCGUACGGAUUAAAGGCAAACGAAACGCAUUUCCGGUCAUAAUAUAGGAGGCCGGACCAACUCCAAUUUCUCGGACUUGCACAUGCCAAUACUUCCCUCUCCUUGCUAGUUCAAAAGAUGGCUGCUACUUCUCCUUUUCCCCGUCCAUAGGCCAUAUCGACCUACUGUUCGAAGCUGCUUGCAUAAUUUCGAGCUCUACUAUGGAUGAUGAUGAUGAUGGCACUACUUGUACAGUAUUAAAACUUGGAUUACUAGAUGGUCCGGUGCCUGUACAGCAUUAAACUAGGACUACUCUACUAUACUAGUGUAGCAGCUGAGCCGAAGGGUGAUGUGUAGGAUGGAUGUACCCAACAGAUGAGAGGAGAGGAGGACCGAGGAGCUAACCACAAAAAAAAGUCUAAUAAGGAGUUGGUACACCACGGGGCUUUAAUUUUAUUAUGCGUACUCACCUAUGACGAAUAGAAUAGCCGCAUAAUU
rnacentral:lncRNA from 1 species